UUUAAAUAGUGUUUGCUAUAAAUACUACACUAUAUUUUUCUAUUAAGAAGUAUUGUAACAUUCACAGGUGGAAAGUAUAAUUACCUAAUGGUGGGUCAUUAGCUCAGAACUUUGAGCUUAGCAAAUUUCUGUCUUCUACCAAAGUAAUUGAAUGUCUAAAAUAAUGACUAUUUCAGCAGGUAUCUUUAGUAAAUAAGAAUUAUAGAUUAAAAAAAGAAGCUCCCGCAAAGGAACAAGAACCUGUGUCUAAGGAAAUUGCAAGACCUAACAUGGCUGAAAGAGAAACAGAAACAUCAAAUUCUGAAAGUAAACAAGAUAAAGCUGCUUCUUCAAAAGAAAAAAAUGGAUGUAAUGCAAAUUCAUUUGAAGGCUCAUCAACAACAAAAAGUGAAGAAAGCAUAACAGUUUCAGAUAAGGAAAAUGAAACCUGUCUUGCAGACCAGGAAACUGGCUCAAAAAACAUCGUCAGUUGUGAUUCAAAUAUUGGUGCAGAUAAAGUGGAAAAGAAAAAACAAAUACAACACGUUUGUCAGGAAAUGGAGUUGAAGAUGUGCCAAAGUUCAGAAAACAUAAUCUUAUCUGAUCAG
rnacentral:lncRNA from 1 species